GGCAAUGGAGUGUCUGCCAGGCUGGUAUGCAGUCUCCUUGUGAGCAUUCGUGAUGCUCCUCUAGGGAACUGGGACUGUCUGGCAAGGCCAAAGUGUGAGGUGUAGAACUUUGCCAUCCUCAAGCUCCUAAAUGGCUUUUGCUGAAGCCUGGCUUACUGUGGGUAGUUUCAGGGAUCAUGCAUUUGAGACAAACCUGAGCUAUAGAGCAAGACCCUCUCUCAAAUCCUUACCCUGCAAACACACACACACACACACACACACACACACACACACACACACACGCACACACAAACAAAAAACAAACAAACAAAACAAAGCAAAAUACUCACAAAGCUGGUAUCAGUCAACUCAGAAGUAGUGAAGGAGGCUGAUGUUUCUAAUCAGGGAAAGACAAGUUUCCAAACAGAGAAGUUUGCAACAGUAUGGACUUCCUGGGCAGGGCCAGAGUUUGCCCCACCCAGUGAGUUUCAGGGACUAUUUGUUCGAGAUUUUGGAAGGCUAUUAUGCAGGGGCUCUCAACCUUCCUAAUGCUGAGACCCCUUAAUACAAGCUGUGGUGACCCCCAACCAUACAAUUGUUUUCAUUGCUGUUUCAUAACUGUAAUGUUGGCACUGCAAUGAAUCGUAAGUAAACAUCUGAUAUUUCUGAUGCUCUUCAGCAGCCCUGUGAAAGGGUCAUUAGUCCCACAAAGGGGUCACAACCCACAGAUUGAGAACGCUGCCGUAAUGGUUCCAUGUGAUUACCUGAGUUAAACUAAUCAAUUAAGUUUAUAGCAUAGGGUCAUUUGAUUUGGAGACCUCGUGUGUUUGACAUGUCAGGUGGGGAAAAGUUCUCUGAUUAGAUCCAGUGUGUUGACUUUUCAGGUAUUAUACAGACUCCUAUAUUUAGGGAGGAAUUCAGACCUAACAAGGCCCCAGCCUUCAGAUCCAUGAUAAAUAGGAUACUGUGAGUGACUUACUGUGACAAAAUAGGCAAGGGUCCCCAGGCUCUGCCCACGUGCCAUGUCUGCUAUAGCUCAACUGACAAUGCUAAACCCUAACAUCCAUUACAGUUACUGGGAGAGAGGGAGAAAGCUACUGGGAGCUAGACAUUUGGUUCUCACACCAAACAUCUAAUAUUUUGGCAGCUGAACUUACUUGUAACAUUAUCACAAACUGCUAAAUUUCUAUAUGGG
rnacentral:lncRNA from 1 species